AUAAAACCCAGCUGAAGGCUUAGGACUGGGACGAUGGUGCGCGUGCCCACAGAGAGGGCUCUGAGUGCUGCCUCUGGCACCCGUAUCAUAGGUUCGCCACCAGUGCCCUAGUAGUUCCUAGAAUACACAUUUUAAGGUGUAAACAGUCUGUUUUAGUUUGACAAGAUUUAUGUCUGUAAGUGAGGAGCAGUAAGAAUUAUUAUUGGGAAGGAUCUCAACUUAUCUUUCUUUCUUGGAGCUGACAGAGACUUAUUCCAUAUCAAGACAUUCUCAGUAUACUAACUUUAGAGGGUUGUUGUGGGGAAAAAUAGAAGAAAGUGCUAUGUAUGCUGCUAUGUAUGCUGCUAAAUGAAAAAUGUGGUUAAAAAUUAAAUGAAGACAGAAAUAACUUCCAUACCCAACAACACUUUGAUUUAAUGGAUCUUUAUGGGAGGAAAUAAUCCCUGAUUGUCAAUGAAAUCCAAUUCAUAUCAAGUUGCCUUUUUAAAAAUGUUUGUAAUGAUGUGCAAAUUAUAUGGAAAUAUUUCAUUUCACCAAGGAAGCAGAAAUCAGUUUCUUUGGAUCUGUUUGAUGACAAAAUAGAAGAUUGCUACUUGGAAUAUAAAAAAAAGUAAAUGGAUUAAGGAGCAUGAAUUAAUGAAUGGAACUAAGGAAAGAAAAAAAAACAGGCAUGUGUUUAUCCCAAGCGUGUUUGAACUCAGUUACUGAUGACUGGUCCACUGCCUCCACUGGAAGUUGCUUCCAAGUUUCCACUCUUCAUUCUGUGAAAAUCUUCAAGCAACU